rnacentral:rRNA from 1 species
GAUGAACGCUAGCGGCAGGCUUAACACAUGCAAGUCGAGGGGCAGCACAGGGAGCAAUCCUGGGUGGCGACCGGCGGAAGGGUGCGUAACGCGUGAGCAACUUGCCCGUAUCUGGGAGAUAACCGAUGGAAACGUCGACUAAUAUCCCAUAACACAAUUUGUGGCAUCGCAGAUUGUUAAAAGAGAAUCGGAUACGGAUAGGCUCGCGUGACAUUAGCUAGUUGGAGUGGUAACGGCACACCAAGGCGACGAUGUCUAGGGGUUCUGAGAGGAAGGUCCCCCACACUGGAACUGAGACACGGUCCAG